AGGGGUGUAGCUCAGCUGGAAGAGCGGCGGUCUCCAAAACCGUAGGUCCGGGGUUCGAGCCCUCGCACCCCUGCCA
rnacentral:tRNA from 2 species